rnacentral:ncRNA from 12 species
GACCUGUAUCUCGAACUGUUACCGGAUGGUGGCGUGUAGAGGACAACUCUAAUAGAGACGUGGUUGGGA